GUCACGAUUGCUCAAGUGGUUAGAGCAUCGGCGUUUUGAGCUGAAGGUCAUGGGUUCGAUUCCCGCUCGUGACA
rnacentral:tRNA from 1 species